GACGAACGCUGGCGGCGUGCUUAACACAUGCAAGUCGAACGGAAAGGCCCUGCUUUUGUGGGGUGCUCGAGUGGCGAACGGGUGAGUAACACGUGAGUAACCUGCCCUUGACUUUGGGAUAACUUCAGGAAACUGGGGCUAAUACCGGAUAGGAGCUCCUGCCGCAUGGUGGGGGUUGGAAAGUUUCGGCGGUUGGGGAUGGACUCGCGGCUUAUCAGCUUGUUGGUGGGGUAGUGGCUUACCAAGGCUUUGACGGGUAGCCGGCCUGAGAGGGUGACCGGCAACAUUGGGACUGAGAUACGGCCCAGACUCCUACGGGAGGCAGCAGUGGGGAAUAUUGCACAAUGGGCGGAAGCCUGAUGCAGCAACGCCGCGUGCGGGAUGACGGCCUUCGGGUUGUAAACCGCUUUCGCCUGUGACGAAGCGUGAGUGACGGUAAUGGGUAAAGAAGCACCGGCUAACUACGUG
rnacentral:rRNA from 1 species